AAAGAUUAAGCCAUGCAUGUAUAAGUAUAAACGAUUUUAUCGUGAAACCGCGAACGGCUCAUUAUAACAGCUAUAAUUUACUUGAUCUUGACUUCCUACUUGGAUAACUGUGGUAAUUCUAGAGCUAAUACAUGCACCAAAGCUCCGACCUUACGGGAAGAGCGCAUUUAUUCGAACAAAACCAAGCGGCUUCGGCCGUUCGCAGUUGACUCAGAAUGACUAAGCUGAUCGCAUGGUCUUGAACCGGCGACGUGUCUUUCAAGUAUCUGCCUUAUCAACUUUCGAUGGUAGUGUAUCUGACUACCAUGGUGGUGACGGGUAACGGAGGAUAAGGGUUCGACUCCGGAGAAGGGGCCUGAGAAAUGGCCACUACGUCUAAGGAUGGCAGCAGGCGCGCAAAUUACCCACUCUCAGAAUGAGGAGGUAGUGACGAGAAAUAACGAGACCGUUCUCUACGAGGCCGGUCAUCGGAAUGGGUACAAUUUAAACCCUUUAACGAGUAUCUAUGAGAGGGCAAGUCUGGUGCCAGCAGCCGCGGUAAUUCCAGCUCUCAAAAUGCAUAGAAUUAUUGCUGCGGUUAAAAAGCUCGUAGUUGGAUCUGUGCCGUUGGACCCGGUCCACCUUAACGGGUGCGCACUGGGCUCCCCGGCUUUCUGCCGGUUUUCCUGUCGUGGCCUUAACUGGUUGCGGCGGGUGGCUGGCGAUUUUACUUUGAACAAAUCAGAGUGCUUAAAACAGGCGUUUCGCUUGAAUGUUCGUGCAUGGAAUAAUAGAAAAGGAUCUCGGUUCUAUUUUAUUGGUUUUAUAGACUGAGAUAAUGGUUAACAGAGACAAACGGGGGCAUUCGUAUUGCUGCGUGAGAGGUGAAAUUCUUGGACCGCAGCAAGACGAACUACAGCGAAAGCAUUUGCCAAGAAUG
rnacentral:rRNA from 1 species